rnacentral:rRNA from 1 species
GAGUCAACGUAUGAUAAUACGUGGCGAACGGCUCAGUAACACGUAGUCAACAUACCCAAAGGACGUGGAUAACCUCGGGAAACUGAGGAUAAACCGCGAUAGGUCAUAAGUACUGAAAUGUUUUAUGGCUCAAAUCUACAUGGCCUCUGGAUUGGACUGCGGCCGAUCAGGCUGUUGGUGAGGUAAUGGCCCACCAAACCUGUUACCGGUACGGGCUCUGAGAGGAGGAGCCCGGAGAUGGGCACUGAGACAAGGGCCCAGGCCCUAUGGGGCGCAGCAGGCGCGAAACCUCUGCAAUAGGCGAAAGCUUGACAGGGUUACUCUGAAUGAUUCCCGCUAAGGGAAUCUUUUGGCAUCUCUAAAAACGAUGCAGAAUAAGGGGUGGGCAAGUCUGGUGUCAGCCGCCGCGGUAAUACCAGCACCCCGAGUGGUCGGGACGAUUAUUGGGCCUAAAGCAUCCGUAGCCGGUCUUGCAAGUCUUCCGUUAAAUCCACCUGCUUAACAGAUGGGCUGCGGAAGAUACUACAAGACUAGGAGGCGGGAGAGGCAAGCGGUACUCAGUGGGUAGGGGUAAAAUCCUCUGAUCCAUUGAAGACCACCAGUGGCGAAGGCGGCUUGCCAGAACGCGCUCGACGGUGAGGGAUGAAAGCUGGGGGAGCAAACCGGAUUAGAUACCCGGGUAGUCCCAGCUGUAAACGAUGCAGACUCGGUGAUGGGCCGGCUUCAUGCCGGCUCAGUGCCGCAGGGAAGCCGUUAAGUCUGCCGCCUGGGGAGUACGGUCGCAAGACUGAA